rnacentral:rRNA from 1 species
UACGUAGGGGGCUAGCGUUGCUCGGAAUCACUGGGCGUAAAGGGUGCGUAGGCGGGUCUUUAAGUCAGGGGUGAAAUCCUGGAGCUCAACUCCAGAACUGCCUUUGAUACUGAAAGUCUUGAGUACGGGAGAGGUGAGUGGAACUGCGAGUGUAGAGGUGAAAUUCGUAGAUAUUCGCAAGAACACCAGUGGCGAAGGCGGCUCACUGGCCCGUAACUGACGCUGAGGCACGAAAGCGUGGGGAGCAAACAGG